GACGAACGCUGGCGGCGUGCCUAACACAUGCAAGUCGAGCGAUGAAAUUAGAAACGGAGUCUUCGGACGAAGUGGAAAAUGGAUUAGCGGCGGACGGGUGAGUAACACGUGAGCAACCUGCCUAUCACAUUGGGAUAGCCUCGGGAAACUGGGAUUAAUACCGAAUGAAACAUAAUCACUGCCUAGUGGAAAUGUCAAAGAUUUAUCGGUGAUAGAUGGGCUCGCGUCUGAUUAGCUAGUUGGUGAGGUAAUGGCUCACCAAGGCGACGAUCAGUAGCCGGCCUGAGAGGGUGAACGGCCACAUUGGGACUGAGACACGGCCCAAACUCCUACGGGAGGCAGCAGUGGGGAAUAUUGCACAAUGGAGGGAACUCUGAUGCAGCGACGCCGCGUGAGCGAUGAAGGCUUUCGAGUCGUAAAGCUCUGUCGAAUGGGAAGAUAAUGACGGUACCAUUUGAGAAAGCCCCGGCUAACUACGUG
rnacentral:rRNA from 1 species